rnacentral:lncRNA from 1 species
NNNNNNNNNNNNNNNNNNNNNNNNNNUGACCUUCUUGUUGGUUUCUCUUCUUGUUGGUUUCUUCAGUCUGUUCAGCCGAAGCAGUCUUCACAUGCUGGGUGAGCAAAGCCCGGGUUCACCAGGGGUCAAUGACCCGAUGGCUACCCUCACAAGGUUUAGCCGGCCUGUCGAAGCCGUUGCCCGGGGUGUGGCCGCUGCCACAUGCUAGCAGCUACUGGGGGCCACAAGGGAGAGCUGGGUGUCAGGUGGGGGUCAGAGGCUGGAGAGCUGCCCUAGGAGGGCAUGACAAGCCCCCCAUACCAAGGUGCUACCCCUCCCUGAGCAGAACUCGGGUUCAAAUCCCGCCUCAGGCGUCAGCUGCCCACGUGACCUCGGACGAGCCUCAUGAUCCCCUGUGCCUCAGUUUCCUCACCUGCAAAAUGGAAAGAGGAGAAAUCGGACAGCCUCUCAGGGCCCUCCAUCUCCCUGGGGCAGCCCAGUGCCCAGAGGGGUGUCUACACCUGCCCAGGGAAAGCUUGGCUGAGGCGGUUCUUGACCAAGAAGGCGGAGCCUCACUGAAGUUCCUUGACCUCCACCCGAUGGACAGAAGGAGCAGCGAGUGGCCGGAUCCGCUGGGCUGUUUGGGUUUCUGCCUCCGGGAGGGGCCGAGGCCAAGGCUGGGACUGUGGCCUUGGGGGAAGGGCAGGAGCAGGAGGAGCCCCAGAGAUGUGGGAGGGAAGAGCCUCGGACCACGCCCCGGUGCACACGCCCCGCCGGCCCAAAUGGCCCAACCUCAGCAGAUGCCCCAACACCAAGGGGGGGUGCCGCAGCGGGGGGAGCCACCGGGCACUCUGGUCAGCGGUUCUGGGCGGAGACUGGACGGCUCAGGCAGUGUCUGCUGCGGACACAGGCUGACCGCAAGCCUCCCUCGUCACUCAUGUGGGCUCCCGAGCGCAGAGCCGGCGGGCGUCCUCUCGGCCUCGCUUCUGCCCCUCUUCUUUUCCGGUGGAAACGCAGAAGCCGCCGAGUCUGUCGGGCACCGACUGCGUGGGAGCAGCUGCGGCCCCUCGGCCUGGCGGACGGGCGGUCUGGCCCGGCCUCUUGUCCCUCCUCCGGCCCAGGAAUGCCUCACGUGAGGGACGCGGAGCAUCCCAAGAGCUGCGCUGGGCCACAGACGGGGCUCCGAGGCCCCUCCGGCA